rnacentral:rRNA from 1 species
GACGAACGCUGGCGGCGUGCUUAACACAUGCAAGUCGAACGGAAAGGCCCUGCUUUUGUGGGGUGCUCGAGUGGCGAACGGGUGAGUAACACGUGAGUAACCUGCCCUUGACUUUGGGAUAACUUCAGGAAACUGGGGCUAAUACCGGAUAGGAGCUCCUGCUGCAUGGUGGGGGUUGGAAAGUUUCGGCGGUUGGGGAUGGACUCGCGGCUUAUCAGCUUGUUGGUGGGGUAGUGGCUUACCAAGGCUUUGACGGGUAGCCGGCCUGAGAGGGUGACCGGCCACAUUGGGACUGAGAUACGGCCCAGACUGCUACGGGAGGCAGCAGGGGGGAAUAUUGCACAAUGGGCGGAAGCCUGAUGCAGCAACGCCGCGUGCGGGAUGAAGGCCUUCGGGUUGUAAACCGCUUUCGCCUGUGACGAAGCGUGAGUGACGGUAAUGGGUAAAGAAGCACCGGCUAACUACGUG